GGGCAAUUGGUCUAGGGGUAUGAUUUUCGCUUCGCAUUCCACAGAUGCGCCUUUGUGAAAGGUCACCGGUUCGAAUCCGGUAUUGUCCA